CCUACGGGAGGCAGCAGUGAGGAAUAUUGGUCAAUGGACGAGAGUCUGAACCAGCCAAGUAGCGUGAAGGAUGACUGCCCUAUGGGUUGUAAACUUCUUUUAUAUGGGAAUAAAACGUUCCACGUGUGGGAUUUUGUAUGUACCAUAUGAAUAAGGAUCGGCUAACUCCGUGCCAGCAGCCGCGGUAAUACGGAGGAUCCGAGCGUUAUCCGGAUUUAUUGGGUUUAAAGGGAGCGUAGGUGGAUUGUUAAGUCAGUUGUGAAAGUUUUCGGCUCAACCGUAAAAUUGCAGUUGAAACUGGCAGUCUUGAGUACAGUAGAGGUGGGCGGAAUUCGUGGUGUAGCGGUGAAAUGCUUAGAUAUCACGAAGAACUCCGAUUGCGAAGGCAGUUCACUGGACUGCAACUGACACUGAGGCUCGAAAGUGUGGGUAUCAAACAGGAUUAGAUACCCUUGUAGUC
rnacentral:rRNA from 1 species